GGUAGAAUGGCUGAACAUUAAGCGGCGGAUUGUAGUCCCGAAAAAGAAGGUGCAAGUCCUUUUUUUACC
rnacentral:tRNA from 1 species